AUUUAAAGGUAUGAAUACCUUUAUACAUAAUGCCCCAUUUUUUUUUUCUGAAAAAAUAAAAAGGUUUAUCAUCAUUUUCACCAAACUGAUUUAAAUGAUUGUAAAGGUAUAACCCUUUACACAAAAAGCCCUAUUAUAACCACUAUCACCAAUACAGUCAAAGUCCUAAAGUUUUUUCAACUUUAUAUACAGUAAAGCGAAAAAAAAUUCAUAACUAACUAGAGGAAAGUUACUGAGUAGUUAUUUGCAUGACAAGCAUAGGUCAGCUACCAAAACUAUUUUGCUCAUACUCUUCAAAAAUAUCAACGGGACGUCGAAUACUCCGAAACUAGUACAGUUUAACAUGGUGUGACAAUAAUUUUUGGAGAGUCCGAACAACAUAGUCAAAAGUAGGUCCUUUAUAUUCAAUUAAACAACAAACAUUUGAACAAAAGAAUAUGAACAAAUCCAUUUGUAAGGACUGACUAAAACCCCCUAAAUUCAUAAACAAAUAAUUAAAUUUCAUAAAAGCAAUACCAAAAGUUACCUCUUAGCUUAUUCAAGAACAUAUAUAGAUCUAGAAAAUAACACAUACCAUAGAGAAGCACACACAACGUGAACAAAAAAAAAUGAAACCAGCGGCGACAAUAUACACGUAAAAACAACAUUUUGACCUUACUUAUAUAGUAUGAUAUUCCGGCAUCAGGAUCCAUGGAUGUAAGAUUUUCAUCAUCUACUAUAUACACGUAAACUUAUUUUGACCUUAUAUAUAAGGUGUACUAUUCCGGUGAAGGGGUCCCCCUCAUGAUUUUCAUGUACAAAACACAAAAUCAGCUACGGAGGCAGGAUUUUCAUAGAGGAGAUUCAUCAUCUACUAUAUACACGUAAACUUAUUUUGACCUUAUAUAUAAGGUGUACUAUUCCGGUGAAGGGGUCCCCCUCAUGAUUUUCAUGUACAAAACACAAAAUCAGCUACGGAGGCAGGAUUUUCAUAGAGGAGA
rnacentral:misc_RNA from 1 species